AAUUAAUUGUAAACAUAAUUUGUGGAAUUUAAUUUAUUUUAAUUACAAAUAAUGAUUGUUACUCUUAAUGUUUCUAUGUUUUUUAAUCUAGUGACUCGUAAUCGAAAAGUUAAUUGAAUUCAUGUUGAAUAAUCUAAACGUCUAAAUGGUUGAUUGGUUUUGUUGUUGUUGUUGUUGGAUUAAUCUUAUUGACUAUUGGUUAAAUUGGUAAUGCUUUUUGGUUGUAUUGAAGAUUAUGAUGAUUGACAUUAUCCAGUAGUAGAUAUCCGAUUUGAUCAUGUUCAUCUUUGUAUCACAUUUGUAUAAAUACAUUUACAUGUAUCUUGUUUUUCUUGGUAUCUCAUAGUUAAUGGAUUAAGCUGGUUGGUUGUGGUUGACUGACUGGUUGAUUAACAUACUUACCAAUAUGAUUUACAAUUCAAGUCACAAUCUCAUCUUAAUUGGAAAUCGCUAAUUGUGGCAUAUUUACUGUUAAUCGUAUUUAGAUAAGAGAUGGCAAACAAAAGACUUGAGGUGAUUAAAUGAUUCAAUUGACUUACAAGAAGCUGGUCAUUCAUAAUCAGAUUGUCACCGAGAAAACAAUUAACUAUUCCAAGAGGAUUCCAAUAUAAUCUCAAACAAAUCUGUUAAUAAUAUUCAUCAUUUUCAGCAAUUCACCGGAGUCAAUCAAUCAAUCGUAUCUUCAUCUUUCAAUAUGUUAAAAGGUUAACCAAUAUUUUUGUUUAUUUACUUGAAAUAUUUAAGAUUUUCAAUUAAUUUACAGGGUAUUAUUAUCUGCAUAACCACUUGAUUAUACCCACUGUUUAAUUGAUUAAUUGUCAACAGUAAUGGAUAAAAAAAACUGGUGAUUAAAUUCAAUUGCAAUAUCAUUGAAUAACUUUUUGAUGGUAGUGAGAUUGAUUGAUUGGAAAUCGUUGCGAUUCAAGAUGUUGACCAUUGAUACUCAUCAAAGGCUAUUGGAUUACGUUGAUGUGAUUACUCUUGGUCAUUGGACAAUAAUAAGACCAUAUCCAUUGUCACCUUAGUGAGAAGGUUGAUUU